GCCUAAUACAUGCAAGUCGAGCGGACCGACGGGAGCUUGCUCCCUUAGGUCAGCGGCGGACGGGUGAGUAACACGUGGGUAGCCUGCCUGUAAGACUGGGAUAACUCCGGGAAACCGGGGCUAAUACCGGAUGCUUGAUUGAACCGCAUGGUUCAAUCAUAAAAGGUGGCUUUCAGCUACCACUUACAGAUGGACCCGCGGCGCAUUAGCUAGUUGGUGAGGUAACGGCUCACCAAGGCGACGAUGCGUAGCCGACCUGAGAGGGUGAUCGGCCACACUGGGACUGAGACACGGCCCAGACUCCUACGGGAGGCAGCAGUAGGGAAUCUUCCGCAAUGGACGAAAGUCUGACGGAGCAACGCCGCGUGAGUGAUGAAGGUUUUCGGAUCGUAAAACUCUGUUGUUAGGGAAGAACAAGUACCGUUCGAAUAGGGCGGCACCUUGACGGUACCUAACCAGAAAGCCACGGCUAACUACGUGCCAGCAGCCGCGGUAAUACGUAGGUGGCAAGCGUUGUCCGGAAUUAUUGGGCGUAAAGCGCGCGCAGGCGGUUUCUUAAGUCUGAUGUGAAAGCCCCCGGCUCAACCGGGGAGGGUCAUUGGAAACUGGGGAACUUGAGUGCAGAAGAGGAGAGUGGAAUUCCACGUGUAGCGGUGAAAUGCGUAGAGAUGUGGAGGA
rnacentral:rRNA from 1 species